rnacentral:rRNA from 1 species
AACGAACGCUGGCGGCAGGCCUAACACAUGCAAGUCGAGCGCCCCGCAAGGGGAGCGGCGGACGGGUGAGUAACGCGUGGGAACGUACCCUUUGCUACGGAAUAGCCUCGGGAAACUGGGAGUAAUACCGUAUGUGCCCUUCGGGGGAAAGAUUUAUCGGCAAAGGAUCGGCCCGCGUUGGAUUAGGUAGUUGGUGGGGUAAUGGCCUACCAAGCCGACGAUCCAUAGCUGGUUUGAGAGGAUGAUCAGCCACACUGGGACUGAGACACGGCCCAGACUCCUACGGGAGGCAGCAGUGGGGAAUCUUAGACAAUGGGCGCAAGCCUGAUCUAGCCAUGCCGCGUGAGCGAUGAAGGCCUUAGGGUUGUAAAGCUCUUUCACCGGUGAAGAUAAUGACGGUAACCGGAGAAGAAGCCCCGGCUAACUUCGUGCCAGCAGCCGCAGUAAAAC